AGUGAACGCUGGCGGUAGGCCUAACACAUGCAAGUCGAACGGCAGCACAGUAAGAGCUUGCUCUUACGGGUGGCGAGUGGCGGACGGGUGAGGAAUACAUCGGAAUCUACUUUUUCGUGGGGGAUAACGUAGGGAAACUUACGCUAAUACCGCAUACGACCUACGGGUGAAAGCAGGGGAUCUUCGGACCUUGCGCGAUUGAAUGAGCCGAUGUCGGAUUAGCUAGUUGGCGGGGUAAAGGCCCACCAAGGCGACGAUCCGUAGCUGGUCUGAGAGGAUGAUCAGCCACACUGGAACUGAGACACGGUCCAGACUCCUACGGGAGGCAGCAGUGGGGAAUAUUGGACAAUGGGCGCAAGCCUGACCCAGCCAUACCGCGUGGGUGAAGAAGGCCUGCGGGUUGUAAAGCCCUUUGUUGGGAAAGAAAAGCAGCAGGUUAAUACCCCGCUGUUCUGACGGUACCCAAAGAAUAAGCACCGGCUAACUUCGUG
rnacentral:rRNA from 1 species